CAACAGGGAUUGCCUUAGUAACUGCGAGUGAAGCGGCAAAAGCUCAAAUUUGAAAUCUGGCAUCUUUUGGUGUCUGAGUUGUAAUUUAGAGGGGCAUUUUCAAGGUCAGCACUAUCUCAAGUUCUUUGGAACAGGACAUCAUAGAGGGUGAGAAUCCCGUGCCUGGGUAGUUGUUCUGAUCUUAUGUGAAGUGUCUCCGACGAGUCGAGUUGUUUGGGAAUGCAGCUCAAAAUGGGUGGUAAAUUUCAUCUAAAGCUAAAUAUUGGCGAGAGACCGAUAGCGCACAAGUAGAGUGAUCGAAAGAUGAAAAGCACUUUGAAAAGAGAGUUAAAAAGUACGUGAAAUUGUUGAAAGGGAAGCACUUGCGACCAGAAUUAAUCUUUGGGAAUCAUCUGGGUUUCGGCCUGGUGCCAUUCCUAUCGAUUUGGCCAGCAUCGGUUUUGGUGGUAGGAUAAAAGGUGAAGAAAUGUGGCUUUCAUCUUCUUGAGAGUGUUAUAGUCUUUAUCAUAAUACUGCCUACUGGGACCGAGGAUCGCGCUUUUUCUAAAAAGUUAGGAUGCUGGCAGAAUGGUUUUAAGUGACCCGUCUUGAAACACGGACCAAGGAGUCUAACAUCUAUGCGAGUAUUUGGGUGGAAAACCCUUCUGCGUAAUGAAAGUAAACGUAGGUGGGAACUCUCCUGAUAAAAAAGGGAGUGCACCAUCGACCAGUCCUGAUGAUUUUCGGAAGGAUCUGAGUAAGAGCAUAGCUGUUGGGACCCGAAAGAUGGUGAACUAUGCCUGAAUAGGGUGAAGCCAGAGGAAACUCUGGUGGAGGCUCGCAGCGGUUCUGACGUGCAAAUCG
rnacentral:rRNA from 1 species